GGCCGCCCCACUGCGGAGGCUCCUUUCUCCCCUGAGGAUGUGCUGCGCACGCCCCGCCCGCUGCAGCCCCCAGGCUGGCGCCGCCCGCGCCGUUUGCCCUCGGGCCUCCAGCCCCCGCUUCCUUCUCGCCCCUCCUCGUGGCUCCGACGCUCGAGGCGGCCUUGCCCCCGACCUUGCGUGUAGCCGCCUGGUAUCCUGAGAGGCGAGGAGCGGCGUCCUGGCGCCUCCGCCUUGGCCUCUGGGGCGCCGCGGCCCCUCCACCCCGCCACCCCAGAUCUGCACUGCGCGGGUCCCCCACACCUCCAGGGUAGACGGUAGGACAAAGGGAGGUGGCUGUUGGGUUGGGCAUCUCGUAGGCUCCUGAAUGCACUGCAUCGUCGUUUUAAACAAAGCACAUCCACGGCCCAACUGUUUUUUUAUCCACCCCCACUUAACCAUCAGGAGAAUAAACAAGUUAUUUUCCCUAUCCCAUAACAUUCCCACUUGGUUUUCCCAACCACAAACAAAAUUUAUUCCUGAGACAGCAAUUUUGAGGAGUUUGUUGACCUCAUUCAUCCCGGGAUUACAAUGAUAUUAUUUCACUCAAAAGGGGUGCGUUGGACGUGUAGUUCACCUGAAGAAAACACUUGAUAGUUUCAGCAACUGGUUGGUUCUGGGCGGUUGUUUCAGAUAGGUGUUGGUGAACAUGGAGAGGGCUUGAGAAAGGCAGCAGCACCAGGUGUCCCAAAAAGAGGUUACUUGGAACCGGAUGCAGGCGUCUAGGACGCAAACUGCCAGAGAUCUCAGCCAAAACAGUGGGAGUAAAGAUCUCAAAACCAAGCCCAUAUAUUAAGUACUUUCCCUCUAAGAACCGGAAUUGCAGGUAUGCUAAUUUUAAUAAAUCCUUACUUCAGUAUCUUGGCCCAGAGCAAAGAAAGAUCCGGAAAUUGAGAGAAGGCCAGGAAUGUGGGUCUAUUAUGGCCAAAGAGUAUUUGGGCAGAAUACAUUGACUUAGUUGCUAUCAUUUUUCUUUGGACAAGAUAGGAUUGCUAACGAUUAAGUUGUAAAAAUAAAGGUAUUUUUAAGUUGUCCUAUUUUGAAAAAUUGUAAGGAUCUAGGAUUUUAAUUUUCAAAAAUUUUCAAAACUAUGGAGCAUAAUAUAAUAUUCUAUAAAACAUACAUCUUUCUUUGAAAAGUUUAUACACACCUUGUUUUCUGAUCUAAUCCUUGAUUCUCAGCACAACCUUAGUGUUCUGAAUAAUCUGAAAGCAUGUAUGUGAACUCACCUGGGAUUUUGCUUUCAAAUUUCACUUUCCAACCAAUUUGCUGCUAAUUAGCAGGUGUGUGUUCAUUCAGUGAAAGAGCCUGG
rnacentral:lncRNA from 1 species